AGUGAACGCUGGCGGUAGGCCUAAUACAUGCAAGUCGAGCGACAGCACAGUAAGAGUUUGCUCUUACGGUUGGCGAGUGACGGACGGGUGAGAAAUACAUCGGAAUCUACUUUUUCUUGGGUGACUACGUAGGGACACUUACGCUACUACCGCAUACGACCUACGGGUUAAAGCAGGGGAUCUUCGGACUUUGCGCGUUUCAAUGAGCCGACGUCGGAUUAGCUAGUUGGCGGGGUAAAGGCCCACCAAGGCGACGAUCCGUAGCUGGUCUGAGAGGAUGAUCAGCCACACUGGAACUGAGACACGGUCCAGACUCCUACGGGAGGCAGCAGUGGGGAAUAUUGCACAAUGGGCGAAAGCCUGAUCGAGCCACACCGCGUGAGUGAAGAAGGUCUUCGGGUUGUAAAGCCCUUUUGUUAGGAAAGAAAAGCAGCGGAUGAAUACCUGCCUGUUCUGACGGUACCCAAAGAGUAAGCACCGGCUAACUUCGUG
rnacentral:rRNA from 1 species